rnacentral:rRNA from 1 species
GAAUAUGGGGGGACCAUCCUCCAAGGCUAAAUACUCCUGACUGACCGAUAGUGAACCAGUACCGUGAGGGAAAGGCGAAAAGAACCCCGGCGAGGGGAGUGAAAAAGAACCUGAAACCGUGUACGUACAAGCAGUGGGAGCACCCUUUGGGUGUGACUGCGUACCUUUUGUAUAAUGGGUCAGCGACUUAUAUUCUGUAGCAAGGUUAACCGAAUAGGGGAGCCGGAGGGAAACCGAGUCUUAAC